UUAAAGGUCGUGACCAUAGUUCAUCAUGAUGAACGUUGGGUCGCUCUGAGUGGCAAUAAACCGCUAACUAACCUGAAUUAUUAGCCUGUGUACAAUAAUGCUAGCUAUGUAGCAUUUUGGUACAGUAUUAUCGACAGCUUCAUCUUACCGUAGAAGAGUUUGUCUGCAGUCAGUCGGUGCUGACGGCUCCCUCACUGUGAUAAAUACAGACAGAUGGCGACUCAUGUCUCUAAAUACUGUAAAUGGAUUAUCCUCAUGUAAUCCUGUGUAAACUACUCCGGUAACUGUGAAACACUGACGCAUCUUUGCCAGCGUUGCCAUCUGCUGUGAAAACCGAUAUCACUCUGACAGAAGUUCUCCUGGGCUCAGAGAGAGUAUGCAUGGGACAUAGUGUAUGUGAUGGUUUUCGGCAGUGCUGGAUGCUCAAACCCUCCCUGCUCCUCCUCAUCCACCCUCCUUCUCUCACUCCCUUCCUCCCUUUGCUGCGGUCAUCCUGGUGACAAGCUGCAUCUCUGCUGCUGCCGUCGCCUCUCUCUCUGUCAUCACUUGGGUUGAAACAAAACAAGUGAAACUAACUACGUUGUUACUGUUCAUACACCAUUCCACAUGAGGCAUCCUUCAAGAUCACAGCAGUCGCAUCUCGCACUGAUCUUUAUUUCGGCACAUAAACAUCUGCAUACAGAAACAAUGUCCAGAUACAGCUUGUUCAUGCUAGUUGCCUUACAGUAUAUGGAUGACUAAUACUGACAAUGCUCUGAUUUGGCUCCUCUCCUUCUUUCUAAUAUCAAGAUUUUGGUCUUACCAAAUCCCGUUAUCAUUAUAAUAAUUUGGUUAAGAAUAUUUUAAAGAAAAUAGUGAAGAAAAAAAAUGAAGAAAAUAGUAGAAAAUAUUAUCUUGAAUUGAACAUAUCUUGAAUUUGGUUAUGUCUUCUUAUUCUGUAAUACCAUUUACUGGUUAGACUGUCCUGUUGGUCAACAUAUCCACAUUAAUAAUGAUCAUAUGGGUUUAAAUCAGCUGUGUGUACACACUGUCUAAGUAAAAAGGCCUGCUUUAAGCAGAAAUUGAGCAACAUCCUGGCAGAUCCUCUCUUGCUUCAGUGGUUGUGUCAAUUAAUUAUGCAGAUAAACAAUUGUUACAACGCAUUGCAUAAAUAAGUAAAUAAGUCA